CUGGCCUAGAUCUAUGAACUGACCCGGGCCUUGUUUUUUCCUCUACUGGUGAGAAAUUCUCUUUGUUGGAAUAUGGAAGCUGAUGAAUGCCCCUCUAAUUCCCGCUGAAAUUCAAAACGAAGCCUGAGAAUUUAGAAAUCUUUCCAACUCCAUAACAAGGCUUCACAAUGCUUCAUCGUACCAAAAUUCUCUCAGAAAACAUUUCCAAACUAAACAUUAACCAACACUUUCUCCGGCAACAUUGUCGUACGAAGUCGACUCGCCGUUUCAACAACGCCAAAGAUGAAGAUGAAGAUUAUCACAGAGUCCGAGGAAAAACUGAAAAUCAAGAAGCACAAAUUUAUUUGCUAAAAAGCAGAGGUCAACAUCUGCUCAUGAAUCCCCGAGUUCUUAACUCCAUUGUCCAAAAAUCCAACAUACUUCCUACUGAUACCGUUCUAGAAAUUGGACCCGGCACCGGAAAUCUCACCCUGAAACUUCUAGAAGUUGCCGAAAAAGUCAUAGCCAUCGAAAUUGACAAACGUAUGGUUGAGAUUCUUCACAAGCGCGUCUCUGAGCGAGGGCUUCAGGACCGCUUAACUGUUAUAUGUCAAGAUGCUUUAAAGACCGAGUUUCCAGAGUUUGAUCUUUUAGUAGCCAACAUCCCUUAUGGAAUUUCCUCUCCUCUGGUUGCUAAAUUGGUUUUUGGGAAGAACCCAUAUAGGAGUGGGACGCUACUUCUUCAGAAAGAGUUUGCAAGGAGGCUAUUGGCAAAUCCAGGGGACUCGAAGUUUAAUAGAUUAGCUGUGAACGUGAAGCUGGUGGCUGAUGUAGAGUUUGUCAUGAAUGUGAGCAAGAAGGAUUUUUUGCCGUGUCCAAAAGUUGAUUCUGCUGUUGUGAAGAUACAUCCUAAAGCUGAAAUUCCAAAGGUGGACUAUCAAGAAUGGUGUGCAUUUACAAGAACUUGCUUCACCAAGAAAAAUAAAACAUUAGGUGCGAUCUUUAAGCAGAAAAGAAUGUUACUGGAGUUAAUGAAGCUGCAAGAAAUCAAAUUGGAUGAAGUGAAUAACGCAAUUUACAGCGAUUAUCAUGUUAAUGAUUCAGAAGAUGAAGAUGGACUGUGCAAUGAAGAUAAUGCUAAUGUCUCUUCUGAUGUCGGAAUGGACCUGAGCUUGUUCAGAGAGAAAGUCAUUGACAUUCUACGAUCUGGUGGAUUCGAAGAUAAGAGACCUUCAAAGCUCUCCCAUGAGGAGCUACUGAACUUACUUUCUUUGUUCAAUCGAGCUAGGUUGCACUUUCACGGUCAAGUAAAACCCACGAAUGGAAAGGAUGCAGAACUUGCUUCUGCAUUUGGUCCAUUAUAAUGCUUAAAUACACACCAUCCAUGCUGUAGAGUCUUUGACCUCAUUUAAGUAAAUGGCAAUUCAACCAAGUUUCUUGAUCAAGCCAUAGCUGCAGAUGAUCAAAUCUUUUACAAGAACUUUGCAGAAGAUAUCUCAUUUGGUACUCAGAACAGGUCAUAUUUUAGAAGGUCAUAGGAUUGAUCUGUUCUUCUUAGUCAUUUCUUGUACUGUAUUCUCGGCAGAAACUUUAUGUCAUCUGGAUUAAAUUCGACGGUGGAAUGUCAAUGGACCUCAUAAGAUGCUGUUGUUUAUGAAUUAUCAUUACCAUUUAGCAAAUGGGUGGACUCGACUGGAGCCCAUAGCGAGUGGUCGUUAAGCCAAAUCGGCUUCUAAGCCUUGAGACAAUUGUCCAACCUGUUUCUGAAAUCCCCUCUUUCAGGGAGGAGAGUAUCUGGUUGUUUGCUUGCACCUUGUCGGCCACCUCUACCAGUAGCCAGUGCAGAACCGGAGCUUCGGCUGAUAUUUGGCACACUUCAACCUGGCCUAUCAUAGAUUUCUCUCUUCAAUGGUUCAGCUUGAAUGACCGUUGGUAACGAAAAGGGGAAGGGCCUGCAACAAGCCUCGCUUGAAAGAACCUGCUUGAGACCCCAGGCUGGACUGGUUCUCAAGUCGGAGAUAUGAAGAAUCCAAAAAUCUAAGCAUGGGAUUACAAUUCCUUAUCUCAUUUGCGAAUAAAAAAACUAUCAACAUCUCAAUGGGACGAUUCUGUUGAUUUUAGCUGGAAAAAUGGUGGAAUUCAGUCAACCAUAAGAGGAUGACAAAGCCCUAUUAGUUUCUCCCCGCUGUUAUUUUCCAGAGACUUUCUCCCAGUGGUUCUGCAAAAGGAGAAGCGCUACUGAACAGUGAUCUGCACAAAUGCAGUAAACAAAUUACAUAGAUUACUAUCCUAAAGCAGUAAACAAGUAUAUAGAUCACUGGCUUAUCUGCACAUUUCCUCUAAAUUUAUUGAGGUUAAAUCACUCUUCUAAAUUUCCAGCUUUACUUUUGAGUAAUUUCUGUCAACGUAACUAGAAUUUUGGAUAUUUUAGUUGACUUGAUCUAAAACUUUGUGGUGCCAUUCAAGUGGAUAUUUUCUGAUAUUUGUGUUUUUAGCAGAGGAAGUAUCGUUGCAAUGUGAGACUGGAAGAGAAUACAGGGAAUUACGGUGUUAGAGUUUGUGAUAUGACAUUGGCUUCCUUUCGUCAUUGUAAAAAAAAAAAAAAAUCUUACCAGAGGACGUAGACGUACUAGUUGAACCUCGUAAAUCUUGAGUUCAUCUUUCUUCUACUGUAUUUGUGCAAUUGACCGUGAGCAUUUUAUCACGUGCUUGUGAUAACUGAUAACAUUUUAUCUGUAUAUGUUUUUUUAACGAUGUGAUUCCAAUAGCAGAAACCCAAUUCUGCUGAAGGCGUUGAUCGCAGAGGCGGAGCUAGGAUUUGAAGUUAAUGGGUUCGGUACUCUAGUUCUUUUAAAUUACUGGGUUCUAAAUUAAGAAAAUUUGUACAUAUUCAAUGAAUUUUUUAUAGACAAAAACAAGGUUUGGACCAAAGUUACUGGGUUCGGCCGAACCCGUAACAUGUAUGCUGGCUCCGUCCAUGGUUGAUUGCCAUAGGAAUUGAGUUCCUACUCCUUGUGGAAUUUCACAUACAAACAACAUCUACUCCUAUAACUUGUUUCCUUGUGGAAUUUCACAUACAAACAACAUCUACUCCUACAACUUGUUUGGAUGGUUGU